rnacentral:rRNA from 1 species
GACGAACGAUGACGGCGUGCUUAACACAUGCAAGUCGAAGGGAGUGGCGAACGGGUGAGUAACACGUGAGUAACCUGCACUUUUCUUUGGGAUAAGCCUGGGUAAAUGGGUCUAAUACUGGAUGGAUUGGGAUUGGCUCGCGGCUUGUCAGCUUUUUGGUGGGGUGUUGGCUUACCAAGGCUUUGACGGGUAGCCGGCCUGAGAGGGGGGUCGGUCACACUUGGACUGAGAGACGGCCCAGACUCCGACGGGCGGGAGCAGUGGGGGAUAUUGCACAAUGGACGAAAGUCUCAUGCAGCGACGUCGUGUGGGGGAUGAAGGCCUUCGGGUUGUAACCUCCUUUCGCCCGCGGAAUGGUAGUGGGUAAAGAAGCGCCGGCUAACUACGUGCCAGCAGCCGCGGUAAUAC